UACGUAGGGUGCGAGCGUUAAUCGGAAUUACUGGGCGUAAAGCGUGCGCAGGCGGUUCGUUAUGUCCGAUGUGAAAGCCCCGAGCUCAACUUGGGAAUGGCAUUGGAAACUGGCGGGCUGGAGUGUGGCAGAGGGGGGUGGAAUUCCACGUGUAGCAGUAAAAUGCGUAGAGAUGUGGAGGAACACCGAUGGCGAAGGCAGCCCCCUGGGCCAACACUGACGCUCAGGCACGAAAGCGUGGGGAGCAAACAGG
rnacentral:rRNA from 1 species